rnacentral:rRNA from 1 species
GACAGAGGGUGCAGACGUUGCUCGGAAUUACUGGGCGUAAAGCGCGUGUAGGUGGAUUGGUGUGUCAGAUGUGAAAUCCCUGGGCUCAACCCAGGAACUGCACCUGAAACUACCAGUCUUGAGUGGUGGAGAGGGAAGUGGAAUUCCUGGUGUAGAGGUGAAAUUCGUAGAUAUCAGGAGGAACACCAGUGGCGAAGGCGGCUUCCUGGACACCAACUGACGCUGAGACGCGAAAGCGUGGGGAGCAAACAGG